AGAGUUUGAUCCUGGCUCAGGAUGAACGCUGGCGGUGUGCCUAACACAUGCAAGUCGAACGGGGUUUAUCUGACGAAACUCUCCGGAGGGAAGAUAUCUCAACCUAGUGGCGGACGGGUGAGUAACGCGUGGGCAACCUGCCCUGCACCGGGGGACAACAGCCAGAAAUGGCUGCUAAUACCGCAUAAGCCUGCUGUCUCGCAUGGCACAGCAGGGAAAACCUCGGUGGUACAGGAUGGAUCCGCGUCUGAUUAGUUAGUUGGCAGGGUAACGGCCUACCAAAACAACGAUCAGUAGCCGGCUUGAGAGAGUGGACGGCCACAUUGGGACUGAGACACGGCCCAGACUCCUGCGGGAGGCAGCAGUGGGGAAUAUUGCACAAUGGGGGGAACCCUGAUGCAGCAAUGCUGCGUGGGUGAAGAAGCACUUCGGUGCGUAAAGCCCUGUCAGCAGGGAAGAAAAUGACAGUACCUGGACAAGAAGCCCCGGCUAACUACGUGCCAGCAGCCGCGGUAAUACGUAGGGGGCAAGCGUUAUCCGGAUUUACUGGGUGUAAAGGGAGCGCAGGCGGCGUGGCAAGUCAGAUGUGAAAUCCCGGGGCCCAACCCCGGGAGUGCUUUUGAAACUGCCAUGCUGGAGUGCCGGAGAGGUAAGCGGAAUUCCUAGUGUAGCGGUGAAAUGCGUAGAUAUUAGGAGGAACACCAGUGGCGGAGGCGGCUUACUGGACGGUAACUGACGUUGAGGCUCGAAAGCGUGGGGAGCAAACAGGAUUAGAUACCCUGGUAGUCCACGCCGUAAACGAUG
rnacentral:rRNA from 1 species